rnacentral:lncRNA from 1 species
UUGGUGGUAACGAUAGGUGUUACUCAUUUUAGUGGCAAAGUCAAAAGCAUGAACUCGGUUUUUGAUAGUGAGGCCAUAAUGGCUUCAUUUUGUAAGGGUUUGUACAUAUCCACCGCUAGAGAUGAGGAUGACAUUCUAUUGGAGUUAUGCAUUAAGGGUAAGAAAGUUUGUCCGAGGAUUCUACAGGGGCGGGAAAUGAAUACUUCUACAUGCACACAUGGGUUAUUUUCAACAUGGGAUAGAGGAUUUCUUUCACUCUAUUUGAUGUGAC